rnacentral:rRNA from 1 species
UACGGGGGGGGCAAGCGUUGUUCGGAAUUACUGGGCGUAAAGGGCUCGUAGGCGGCCAACUAAGUCAGACGUGAAAUCCCCAGGCUCAACCUGGGAACUGCGUCUGAUACUGGAUGGCUUGAAUCCGGGAGAGGGAUGCAGAAUUCCAGGUGUAGCGGUGAAAUGCGUAGAUAUCUGAAGGAACAUCAGUGGCGAAAGCGACUUCCUGGACCAAUACUGACGCUCAUGUGCGAAAGCGUGGGGAGCAAACAGG